rnacentral:rRNA from 1 species
UACGUAGGGCGCAAGCGUUGUCCGGAAUCAUUGGGCGUAAAGAGCUCGUAGGUGGUCUGUUACGUCUGCUGUGAAAUCCUAGGGCUUAACCCUGGGCCUGCAGUGGAUACGGGCAGACUAGAGGUAGGUAGGGGAGAAUGGAAUUCCCGGUGUAGCGGUGAAAUGCGCAGAUAUCGGGAGGAACACCGGUGGCGAAGGCGGCUCUCUGGACCGUAACUGACGCUGAGGCGCGAAAGCGUGGGGAGCAAACAGG